UCCGAGUUGACCCCGGCAGUCUCCUGUGAGUCCCCGGCCGAACCGCUGGCAACACAGAACGAGGGUUGCGCUCGUUGCGGGACUUAACCCAACAUCUCACGACACGAGCUGACGACAACCAUGCACCACCUGUACACCGACCACAAGGGGGCGCCCAUCUCUGGACGUUUCCGGUGUAUGUCAAGCCUUGGUAAGGUUCUUCGCGUUGCGUCGAAUUAAGCCACAUGCUCCGCUGCUUGUGCGGGCCCCCGUCAAUUCCUUUGAGUUUUAGCCUUGCGGCCGUACUCCCCAGGCGGGGCACUUAAUGCGUUAGCUGCGGCGCGGACGACGUGGAAUGUCGCCCACACCUAGUGCCCAACGUUUACGGCGUGGACUAC
rnacentral:misc_RNA from 1 species